UGUCUUACUCCCUCAGGCACAUC
rnacentral:miRNA from 2 species